rnacentral:rRNA from 1 species
AUACGUAGGGGGCGAGCGUUAUCCGGAAUUAUUGGGCGUAAAGAGUGCGUAGGUGGUUACCUAAGCGCAGGGUUUAAGGCAAUGGCUCAACCAUUGUAUGCCUUGCGAACUGGGCUACUUGAGUGCAGGAGAGGAAAGCGGAAUUCCUAGUGUAGCGGUGAAAUGCGUAGAUAUUAGGAGGAACACCAGUGGCGAAGGCGGCUUUCUGGACUGUAACUGACACUGAGGCACGAAAGCGUGGGGAGCAAACAGGAUUAGAUACCCUGGUAGUCCACGCCGUAAACGAUGAGCACUAGGUGUCGGGGUCGCAAGACUUCGGUGCCGCGGUUAACGCAUUAAGUGCUCCGCCUGGGGGGUACGCACGCAAGUGUGAAACUUAAAGGAAUUGGCGGGG